CCUGUCGAUCUUUUUCAUUCUUGUAAAUUCACAGAACAAAACCAAACACUUGAGCCUCAUGAUGUGUUCAACACGUGAUAAAGGACCUAUCGAAUUUCGUAAAGAUGAAAAUUUUCCUUUCGAAUGACUGUUUUUGCAUUCCAGCCUUCUCCAUUUCACCACCAGACUCAUCUUUACACCCGCUUCAUCAGUCUUAGACAAGUAACAUCGUUACUUUUUGCCAGAUCCAGCCACGCAUACCUGACCUAAAUGUGGUUUGAUGAAAAAAAUUUUUUUUUGUUUCUUUUGAAAAUGUUGGAUAUUGUGCAUAUGUAACCGCACCAAAAUUUUCCACAUAUUUGGUCAAGAAAUUGAACAUUCUUCUACGUCAUGUUUGGUGA